rnacentral:tRNA from 1 species
GUUCCUAUAGUUAAAUUGUGAUAACGAUGGUUUUUCAGACUGUAGAUCUUGGAGAGAGUCCAAGUAGGAACU